UACGUAGGCAGCAAGCGUUGUUCGGAAUUACUGGGCGUAAAGAGUGUGUAGGCGGUGCUCUAAGUUCGGUGUGAAAUCUCCCGGCUCAACUGGGAGGGUGCGCCGAAAACUGGGGGUGCUGGAGCGCGGGAGAGGAAAGCGGAAUUCCUGGUGUAGCGGUGAAAUGCGUAGAUAUCAGGAGGAACACCGGCGGUGUAGACGGCUUUCUGGACCGUAGCUGACGCUGAGACACGAAAGCGUGGGUAGCAAACAGG
rnacentral:rRNA from 1 species